CCUACGGGGGGCAGCAGUGAGGAAUAUUGGUCAAUGGCCGGAAGGCUGAACCAGCCAUGCCGCGUGAAGGGCAGGGACCUAUGGGCGUUAAACUUCUUUUGUGCGGGAGCAAGAAUGGUCACGUGUGGCCAGACGAGAGUACCGUACGAAGAAGCAGCGGCUAACUCCGUGCCAGCAGCCGCGGUAAUACGGGGGAUGCAAGCGUUAUCCGGAUUUAGUGGGUUUAAAGGGUGCGUAGGCUGUGAGGUAAGUCAGCGGUGAAAUGCCCCCGCUCAACGGGGUGAAGUGCCAUUGAUACUGCCUUGCUGGACUGCGGAUGCCGUGGGAGGACUGUGUGGUGUCGCGG
rnacentral:rRNA from 1 species